rnacentral:misc_RNA from 1 species
UUAACGAUUAUAUAGUUACUCGGACGACACUAACAUUCAGAGUCUGUGAGGUCUCUGGCGGGCGCGCGCCAGCCGGGGCCGGCGGCCCGCCAAAGCAACGAGAGUAGUGAUAGCAAUGGGUGGGAGAUCUACCCGGAGGGCAUGAACUCUGUAAUGAUCCCUCCGCAGGUUCACCUACGGAGA